rnacentral:lncRNA from 1 species
GGGGCUUGUAUCUUCUGGAUCUUUAUUGUAUACUUCAAAAAUGCAAAUACAUUCUACACGUGUGAAGUGGGAUUUUGAAAAAAUAAUGAGAUAAAUCAGAAGUUAGAUUUAGGACAGAGAGUUCACUGUUUUUCAUUGGUCAAGAAAAUCAAGUGCUACGAGACUAAGUGUUUUCCAAUUUAUAUCAAGUAUGACAGUGUGUUAAUACAAAAAUGUUGAGGGUGAAAAUGAAAUUUUGAAUCCAGAUGUGCUCCUUCGUCAUCCUGCUAGCAUAAAAGAAAGGAUGUGGUCUACCACAUGUGGCUCAAACACUUCCUCAUCUAGACAAGGUGGUAAGAGGCUGAGGAGAUACCUUAAAAAAACAAAACAAAAAACAACAACAACAAAAAGACCGAAACUAAAGCUGACAGAAUUAUCCUUGCACAAAGAUUGGUGGAGACAUAAUGUCAGUG